rnacentral:rRNA from 1 species
GAUGAACGCUGGCGGCGUGCCUAAUACAUGCAAGUCGAACGCAAUACUUCGGUAUUGAGUGGCGAACGGGUGAGUAAUACAUAAGCAACCUGGCCAUGACAGGGGGAUAACUGACGGAAACGACAGCUAAAACCGCAUAGGUAUAAACGAAGCAUUUUGUUUAUAUUAAAAAUGCUAAGGCAUUGGUGAUGGAUGGGCUUAUGGAGCAUUAGCUAGUUGGUGAGGUAGAGGCUCACCAAGGCGACGAUGCAUAGCCGGCCUGAGAGGGUGAACCGCCACACUGGGACUGAGACACGGCCCAGACUCCUACGGGAGGCAGCAGUAGGGAAUUUUCGGCAAUGGGGGGAACCCUGACCGAGCAACGCCGCGUGAAGGAAGAAGGAAUUCGUUUCGUAAACUUCUGUUAUAAAGGAAGAAAGGGAUGUGUAGGGAAUGAUACAUCUAAGACGGUACUUUAUGAGGAAGCCACGGCUAACUACGUGCCAGCCGCCGCAGUAA